rnacentral:tRNA from 1 species
CGCCGAGCGCGACGAGCACAAUGAUGAAAGACCCCCUGGAGCUCAGCAACUCGGAUUACGACGAAGUAAAAGUCAUAAAGGAAGAGCCUCAAUAUAUGCCCAAGUUAAAAGUGCAAAGUUUGUUUCAGUGAUAGCAAUAAAAUAAGGACUUAUUUCAUUGUGAGAAUGAUAUAAUCAAAUUUUUUUAGAGAGAACCACACAUUGUACUUAUUCGAAUAUUUAAUAUGAAAUUGAGGAUCCGUUGAAGAAGAGAAUAAGCAAGAGAAGUGAGUUAAUAAUUAUCAUAGUGUAAUUAGGUGAUAUAUUUAAGUGCAAUUUACUUAAAAAAAAUAUUUAAAAAUAAGUUGUAAUUAUCUUAGUGUAAGAGAGCUACUAUAGAAAUUAUAUCUAAAUUAGGCAAAGUUUAAGUAUUCUAUACACAUCAAAAUAGAUUUUUUUUUUCAAAAUCGUUUGGUGAAAAUUUUUAUAUUUUAUUUUACUUUGAACAGAGAGAGAACAUUUACAGAUAAAAAAACUUUAUGAUAAAAAUACAUAAGUACAUUUUAUUUAAUAUUUACAGUAGAGGAAGACUCGUUUUACGAGUGGCUAAAAUAUUGUUUCUGUACUUUACAAUACUGAAACACUUUUCAUGUGUAAAUGUAUACACAUUAAUGUUAAAAUCAAGUUUCUUUUUAACUUAACAGUUAUUUAUGAGUAUUUAAAUGUAUUGAUAACUUCAGCUGUUAUGAGGGUUGCCAGUUUCUUAAAAGGGUGGGGGUCCUUUAUAUGAAAAAAAAAAAGAAUUAUGUGUUUAGCAAAAACGUUUAUUAAUAAUAUUUAGAACCGAAUGAGUUGUAUUUUAACUGUACAUUUUUAACCGACUUAAAAAAAGGGGGAUUUCUCCUACUAAUUUAUGUCGUUUUUUUUUUCGUUUGAGAGCAACCAAUUAUCUUGUUAUGAUAGUUUUACUACUGGAAGUAAGUGGAAAAAUCAACUCCGCCCCCACCUCACUCCCCCCAUAUCAGCUGUUCUUGGAACAUUAAUAAUGUUCAUUGUUGCAGCUAAUGUAUAAUUUAAAUACAUUUAUUAUUUCAUUCAUUAUUAAUUUUCGUUUAGGAAUGUCAUAAUAACUGAUUUGUAUUGGUCUAUUAUUUUAUAGAGAUAAGUUAAUAUUUGAGAUAUAUUAUUAACGUGUUAAUUAUCUGUUUUACUGGUAAAACAGGCCCUAACUGUUCUCAUAUGGCUUUUUUUAACAUUAGAGGUCGACCAUUAUUCACGUUAGAAAGGUUCGGGAAUAAUCACGAAAUAUCACAAGGAGGGGGAGGGGAUUGUCAUGAGUUAUCCACGUGUAUUUAUUUUACGUUGAAUGCUCGAGUUUUUAAUAUUAAAAAAAAAAAUAAACACCCUGCAACCUUAAUGCCCUUCCCCUCCCUAUCUAUUCGCUUAUACAAUAUUCGCGAUAGAUAUUUACAUCAAUUAAUCACCAUCGACCUUAAUUAAUUUCACCAUAGACCUAAAUUAAUCACCUUUCGAAACUCACGUGAUUAAUGGACGACGACACACCCAUAAAUCUCAUAGUUCCAGAAUAUUCUUGGAACUCAAAUUAUAAACUUUUUUUUUUUACUAAUUUUUGUAUAAAAACGGUUGCACAAGUCCAAAUUAUAUUAAAAUGAAACGUGAUAGAUAUGUACGGUAUAAAUGUGAGAGCGUGUUAUUUUAGGGGUUUAGUUUACUUUCAAGCUGGUAUCCUAUAUCCAAAAAAGAAAACGGUUCGUUUUACUCGAUUUAAAACGAUUGGUAAAACGUAUUUUUUGAAUAUAGCUACCGUGCUUCAGUAGCUGGGUAAGCCUUCGUACUAAUUCUCAUUUCUUAAUCUUAGCACUCAAAUUUAUUUUCACGUGUUAUUAAAAAACGUAGCGGUCGAUAGUAUGCACAGAUAAUUUAUAUUUCGGAAACGACGAGUAUUGAAAACAGUUCCAUUAGUUUUAAAAAAAAAAUACUAAGUUAUUUUAUAAAUUAAACCGCCUUGGAUUUUUUUUCUAUUAAGAUCAUGUUUUAAAAUUAACAUUGUAAGUGGAUAUUGGUGUUAUAAGCAAUCGGCGUGCCCGCGAAAGUAUUAUUUGAUUUGUAAGGAAAUAAAUGGUACCUAUGAGAGAUGUGAAAAUAUCUCGUUUUGUUAAGCUGACGAUAUGUAAUGAAACUCAAUUUUAUUUUUUAAAAAAGAGCUUGUAAUUGUAUUUUACACGAAAGUUUUUAUUAUUUUGUUUAUAAUUUAGGAAACAAACAGUAUAAUAACAUUUUCUAUAUAUUAAUACGUGAAGGAAAAACUUUGUACACCUUUUUACGAAAAUUGCGCGGACCGAGGAGUAUGACAUUACGCACACUUAUAGUUUGUUUAGAGGACUGCAGAAUGAUAAUAUUUUUUUGAAAUUAUGCCAUAUGUCGAUAUUCUCUGCUACUGAGUAAAUAUUAGACUAUAUUUAUUGUAUGUUAAUACGCUGAAAUUUCUAUAGUAUUAUUUUGAGUUUAGUCGUAGGUACUAUAUAUAAAUAGGUACCUAGCGUUAGGGGAAUUCGAGUUGAACUCGUUGAAUCGGUACAUUAUGGAGAUUGAUAUAGAAAAAAAUGUGUGAUGACUCCGAAACGUGACUGGAGUUUACUCCUUAAUAAUGAUUAUCGUAUUAUUUAAAAAUAAAAUGUUCUAUAUGUACGAUUUUAUUUUUGUGUGACCCACACAUUAGGAAUUCUAAACAUUUUUGAGUAUCAUAUCAAAAAUUGACCGCCCCAGCGGGGUUCGAACCCGCGUCUCCGACUGACCGUGUCGGCGCUCUAGCCAACUAAGCUAUGGAACGAUGUACCCGCUAGAUCGAAAUUUUGGAUAUGAUGAUUUAAACUGAUUGAUUUGAUAUGAUAGCUUAAACCGAAUAUAAAAAUCAUCAUAUCAAAAAUUUCGAUCUAGCGGGUACAUCGUUCCAUAGCUUAGUUGGCUAGAGCGCCGAAACGGUCAGUCGGAGACGCGGGUUCGAUCCCCGCUGGAGUGGUCAAUUUUUGAUAUGAUAUUCAAAAAUGUAUAAAAUGUUCUAUUAAAAGAAUCAAAUUAUAAUUAAUUAGAACAAUAAAACUCUAAAAACAAUAUAAAUUGACGUGUUAUUAGUAUUGGUAUAACUAUUAUACCUUGCUACUAAAAGCGCUGCGUUGUAGAACGUCAGUUCAUUCUCACCGUCAGGGUUAUUUCGUUGUUUCUCACGAUUACACGUCCAAUUUUGUUAAUUCAUAUUGCGUGCCUUAAAUUCGUUUUUCCAAUUAAUAUUUUUAAUCAUAAGCGAAAGAUAAUUAUUAUGUCGUGCGACGAUAAUAAAGGUUUAUUUUUUUUUGUUAUUUCGUUCGUAAUUAAAUCUGAAUUGUUUUAUUGUUGGUUGAGUUUCAUUACAUAUCUGCAGUGGAAUGGGUGCGUGCUUCUGUAGGUAUUUUAAGCUCGGUCCCUAUAUUCAAAAAACGGUUCGUUUUCUACUCGACAUCGUAACUGAACGGUUCGUAAGCUAAACGAUUCAUUUUUGAAUAUAGGAACUGUGUUUUAGUAUAAGGUGCAAAUGUUCCUAUGAGUGUCAGAUUAUCGAGUCGUAUUGUAUUAUGGAUGGAUAAAAAGUGUUGUAAGUAGUUGUAUAGUCGACAGUUUCAAUAUAUCUAGCCUUGUUAAGUGGAAGUGGUGGAGAUUUUUCUAUUAUACUUAUCUUAUUAAAUAUACAAUUUUCAACUAUUUGAUGUUUUGUUUAUUUAUUGAUUCAGCCUGUAACAUCCCACAACUAGGCUAUCCUUAUUCACCAUGUAGGAAAAAGGUAAGGAUGGGGUGUACGCUUGCUUUAAAUGUCAACCUCUUGUCCCAGAAGUUACAUUAGAUGAUAAUAAUCUUGAUGAAACAGAGAAAUUGCUGUCUUUAACUAAAGAAGAGGUAUGUUUGUUUUAAUACCUGGUUCUUAAAGUUCAUUAUGUAGUAAUCUAAUGUAAAUCUAGGUGAAUUGAUUCAACCAACAUCCCACUGCUAGGCUAUCCUUAUUCACCAUGUAGGAAAAGGAUCAGAGCUUAAUCCACGACCCUUUUUAAAUCCUUCAUGGAGGGAGGGUUAUGUCAGAUUCCUACUGACUAAAAAACCACCACAUGUGAGCUGU